rnacentral:lncRNA from 1 species
CCUUUGGAUGUUCACAGAUGAGGGAAGGAAUCAUAAUUGGCUAACAAGAGGAGAUACAUUUGACUAUGUUAAGAGAACUGGAGGACCUCCACCAAGAUCUUGUGAUUGACAUCAUGUCUGGAUGCAGCUGCUUAUAAUCCACAGCCUCUGAAUAUAAAGACAGGUUAUGUCCCCGAAACACAAAAGAUACAAUGAUGAAGAGGAAUAAAACGACUACAACAAACACUUCCACUCAAAAAAGGGACAUAACAGAAGGGCCUUCAGAUAAGGUUCAAAUUGUCCAACAUGGUCUACAAAGCUCUCUACUGUUCCAGGAGCACUCAAGGGGGAAGGACAGGAAAUCCAGGUGCUGAUCAGAAACCCACAAAUAUCUGCCAGGCUGGCAACAGACCCUAAAGAGAGGAGCCUGGGAGGUAGGCAAUAUUAUCGCUAUGUUACUGAAGAUACAACUGAGGCGUAUCUCAAGCUACUUAUGCCAGCUCUUAUUGCCUGUGAGGAUCAAGCCAAAAUCAAACGAAACUUGUGAAAAUCUCAGAAGAGGAUAUGGGAAGCAAAUGGUAUGAACAUGUUACCUAUUUUGGGAGCAUUUCCAAAAACAUAGGUCCUGUCUCUGUACUGAAAGAGGGAACAAUUAAUGUUUAAUAAAUUCCUAUUUAAAGGGUUUUGGUGUGAAAUCCUAAUAGUUUUGUUCUUCUGUAUAUGUUUCUAUGUAUACACUGGAAUUCUUGUUCUGUAUUUCCAAGUAAGGCAAAAAUUUACUGUGAUUGAACACGCCACCACCAAGAACACUAGGUUCUGCCAAAAGAGCCAGAAUGCCCUCUCUCCUGCCUCAUUUCCUUAUUGCAGCAGUCACCCCACUGUCCUUGAAGACACUUGGCUGUGGGCUUUAGGGAAUCAAAUGAAUCCAGGGAUCCAGAUUUGUUAACACUAUUGAAGAGAACCAUCAGUAAUAGACAGUUUCUAUAUAUUUCUUGCUAUUGUAUUUGGUGGGCAAUACAAUAAGAGUUCAGCUGUUUGAAUGCUCUUUGUCUCUUUGUAAUCAAAAGAUUAAGAAUAUAAUCUGUUCUUAAUCUUUUGAGAAAAUAUGGCCCUAAAUUUAAAUGUUUUGCCUCCUGAAAUGAUCAUUUUUUCCUACCUCUCUUAAAGUUCUUCAAAAGCAAGAACUUGUCUUAUGUUCAUGUGUCUCACAACCCUUAAUCAUAUCUGGCAUAUAAUACGUGUACAGUGAAAUUGGUAAAGUGAAGCAGUGUAGAGCCUCAGAAAGAGCAAUUGACUAGUUCUGUAACCUUGGGUAAGUAACAGUUCUUCCCUGGAGUUCUGCUAUCUGCUCCAUAAAAUAAGGAGAUUGGGAUAGACAGUUUUUAAGUUCCUUUAGCGUUCUAAAGUUCUCGAUUUGUUCUAUGGUUUUUUACUCCAUAGAAGCUGAAAAACUCUUAGCAGUUCCCAAGAAGAGGACAUGUAGGGCUGGAAAUCUGUUUGUCCUACCCUUAGUGGAGGAGGCUUCCACAGUACUCUGAAACUAGCAUUGCUCUGAUGAAGUUUUUUUCUAGGGUGUUGCUUUAUUCCAGUCUCCGUGAACCAUCUUUAACUCUAACUUGCUGAAGGGAAUGGAAAUUGACUCUUGUAGGGUCAGGACCGAAGGAACAGGAAUUGAGAUGUAGCUUCCUGCAUCUCAGUAGUCAGAUCUUAGAAGAGGCAAAGAUCCACAUAUUAUGAUCAGAGAAUAUUGAUCAGAUUAUCAUCCUGUGUAGUCCCUCCUUUUUUCCUCACUUCUCUAUAUGUACUCAGCUGGCAGGUUAUACUAAGAUGGAUUCACCUGGAAUAAAAUAAAUGUGAGUUCACUGGCCAGAGCUGAAGUGAUGCCUCACUCUGUUUCAGAACAUUUUCUCCUGAGAGUACUUCAAAGGAAACGUAUCAGAGGACCUAAAUCCUUGAGAAAAUCUUCAUACUCUCAAAUACAGCCCAUGCUAUUCAGCUGAGCUUCCUGGAAAAGGUUGAGUAUGGAUCACUAGUUAGAAAGAUGGGUAGCUCCAGGGGCAUAUGGAGCAGAGCUCCCACUCUCUGCAUAUGCCCUUGGAUACCUGGUACAGGAUCAGACCUCUAGAAAGCUGAGAAGUUGUAACUAGACACUGACAGCCAUUGGGUGCCACUUCAUUUUACUUAUUCCUCCUGGAUUCUAUGCAAGGUAUAAUAUAUGGUCCAGAAGGCAGACUCCUGUAAUGAAUGAAGCACUGUUUUCCCUGAGGCUAUGGAUGGGUUAAAUCAUCUCUCAAGCUGACUUCCAAAUUUUACUCCAGGCUGACUACAAUUUUUCUAAACUCUAGAUUGUGUUUGUGUGUGAUAACAUUUUUUUUAAAAAAUAAGAAUGUCCAGAUAAUAUAAUCUGACAUAUUUAAUCAAGUAUUUGCAGAGGUCUCCAUAUCCAAUAACUUUAGAGGUCAAGUAAAUAAAGUGUGUGGAUAAAGCAGCUAGGCAAAACAAUAGAGUGUAGGAAGAACUUCAGAACGCACACCCUGCUUAACAAAUGCUAUUCUGCCCAAAGAACAUAUUGGCAGGCCAUGUUUGUACCGGCGUGCAACUCCUGAUUUAAGGUAAUUGUUCAGUAUCAUUUAUAGCAUAUAUUCAUUAGUUCAACAACACCUAAAUAUAUAUUGAAGGGUCAUGUGUCAAGUGCCGGGUUAGACACCAAAUAGACAAUAAUGAAGUAUACAGGUCUGGAGUUAAACUAUGCAUAUUUACCAGUUACUUCA